UUUUCUUAGCAUAAGUCAUUCGGUAAAGGCACCAACCUGAAAUUGUCUCCCGCCUCUUCUCUCACUAAAAAAAAUGAGCCCCAAUUUUCUUUUCUCAUUUCCCUUCUCAAUACCCCAAAACAGAAAUCCCCAUUUCUCAGCAGAGCUGUGUUUGGGUUUCCACAAAUCCCCAUUUCUCUCAUUUCCCUAAAUCCCUAAAAAUCGUUUUCCCCCAAAUUACUCUACUGCCUCAUGCACGCCGCCUGGAUGCUCACCUCGCCUGUGAAGGUUCUCUCCCCUUCAUCUCUCUAACUUUGCUCUCUUAGCUCUCUUUCUCCCUCACCGAUGUUUGAAUUUAAUCUGAGAAGGAAGCAGCUUCAGCUAGGGCGAAAUUGAUCUGUUUUCCAGAAAAUUGCGCAUUCGUUGGUGCCAAGGAGGGAGAAAGUCUCAAAAUAGCAGAACCUUUAGAUGGACCUAUAAUGAAACGAUAUUGUUCUCUAGCAAGAGAAUCAUGUAUUUGGUUAUCACUUGGAGGAUUCCAAGAGAAAGGACCUGAUGAGCAACAUUUGUGUAAUACCCAUGUUGUAAUUGAUGAUAACGGGAACAUUAAAAGCACUUACAAGAAGAUACAUUUGUGGCAAGUACAGAGGAAUACUGGAAACCCUCUUUUUCAAACCCUCUAAUUUCGUUUUCAGGCCCUCUUUUUCUCAUUUUUUUAUAUUAAUGUUGUUUUUUUUUGUUUCUUUUCAAAGGUAAAUUACACUUUUUCAAAGCUUCUGCUUUGUGUUGUGUAUAUAUUCUGACAAAAAAAAAAGAUAAAUAGGAUCCAAUGUUACUUACAACAAUGGUUAUGAUGUUUGAACUUUAAUGUUAAUUGCAUCUAUAAUAUUGCAUUUGUAGUGUCUAGAGAUUUGAAUUCGAUUUAAGAAAUAUAGGAAGCCAAUCUUUUUAAAACAAAUUAAGUGCACACAAACUGUUUGUUGAAAGUCCUAUAAGCAAUUAACUUUUACUUCCCAUGAGAAUAAUGGUAAACCUUGUAGUUGUACACAUUUCACUUUGAUUUUAACUUUGGAGUUGUGGAGUACAUUCUGGUAUCUUACUCUAGGGACGUUAUUGUAUCUGUUGGUGUGUUUACUUAAAUUAUGAUGCCUUUGAGUAAAAAAUUAUGUUCUCUCCAUUCUUCUAGAAAAAGGAUUUUGAAAAUAAUGAUUUACAUUUGGAUUGUACUUUUAGUUUUUGUUCAAGCUAUUUUUUGUGCUAACAAAAAUUUUGAAGUUGUAAUAUCUUAAGGAGAAAGCUUAAUUUUAUCUUUUCCUUUUUACUUGUUGGGUUUUGCUAGGUUUCUGUUUUCUCUACUGUUUCUGGAUCGUAUAUAUAAUAAGGAGAAUUUGGAAAAGAUUACGCAGCAACUAGAAGCUUAAAGCUUGGUCAGAGGAUUCUUGAAUUUUUAACUAUGUAAGUAUUAUUUGAGGUCAGGGGGAUGUAAAUUUGGAAAAACAUGUAAAUAUAACCACACUAGAGGAAAGACUUCUGCAGCACCAUUAGCACCAGUUCUAGAGUUUAACUUUGCUGGUCUUCCAAUCUGAGUAGGUGAGAAAGAAUGUCCAUAUUACAUGCGAACCAGGGAGGCGAUGUUACUCUUGGCGAUGGAUGAGGUGGAGAAUCGAUUUAUGGUGCUAAAUUUGUAGAUGAAAACUUCAAACUAAAACACAUUGGACCAGGGAAGUUAAAAAGGCCUUCUCCUUGACCCAUUUCUUCUUUUAUUCUAAAAUGGUGAUUGUUCAAAAGAUAACCCAAAACCCGAGGAACUUCAUAUUAUCAUUACUAAAAUUUCUCUUUAUGUUCACCAUUAGGAAUUAUAUCAAUGGAAAAUGUUGAACCACACACUAAUGGUUCCCAAUUCUUCAUUACUACUGUCAAGACCAACUGGUAAGUGGUAACUAACUGUGUUUAUAAUUGUUAAAGCAUCGUGUUUUGGUUCCAAACGGAGUGAACCCCUAGAGACCUUGAAGGAAACGGUACGGACCUACCAGUUCCGGUAGUCUUUCUUUUCAGUUUACUCUUAUAUCUUUGGUAUUUUAGGGCUCUUUUGUUGUAGCUUCUGUUUUAUUUUUGAUAUUUGUAUGUGGGUUUUGCUGUUAAUUGAUUUGGGUUUACAUUGAAAUUUCUAUGUUCUAUUUUCAAUAGGGAUAGUCAGUAAUAUUUCUUAUUGUAUCAUUAAUACUUGGUUUGUUGUGACCAAAAACUUUUCUAAUUAUCAUCUUGAUACUAAGUUGAAAUUUACUAGGUUUCCAAGGACUUGUGUUCCUACCUAAACAUCUUUAAAAAAUCCUCCUUGCUUCCCAUUCUAGUUGGUAUAUUUCUGUUUUGAUUUUCUAGUUGGGAAUUGAGAUCUCUUACUUUCAUUAUUUAUGGAAAUCCCAUGCUUUUUGUAUAGAGAAGCAAUGCUAAUAUAUAUGUUUUUGCCUUGCUUUUUAACCUGUUUAUGCUUUAGCCAACCAUGGGUAAUGUUUCGUGAGCAAUUUUUUCUUCAAAUUAUCUCUCUAUGAUUUCUAGCAAGAAGCCAAUUGGCUAUUUCAAUUGCAAAAUGUUUUAUUAAAACUACUGCAGAGUCAAACAUGUGAUCGAAACUUCAAUUUUCUUGGUUUGUGGUGCGAUGACAAUAACGUGGAUUUGUGAUACCGUCUUAGAAUCUGGAUUUGGUACUGGUCUUGACAUGUUGGAUGCAUCACACACUGGUUUUAUUACUAUUCCAGUUAACUUCAUAUCCGUGUACCAUCUGAUGCAUAUUUAUUUAUUUCAGGUCAAGGAUCAAGUCUAAUUAUAUGCGUUGGAAUACUGAUGGGCUACACAGAACUGUUGCACAAUAUGUUGUCUCAGCAGUCAGGCAUGUGACUUGAUGGACUAAAUGCUGCUAAGAUAAUUUACUAUGCAUUGUAUGAUGGAAAUCAAUGUAACAGAUUCAUAAAACUUUCAAAAUUAAAUAUACAAAAGUAGAAACCUCAAGACCCAAUACACUUAGAACAGUAAUUUUAACAAGUAGAUGCCUCCAUUCCUUUUGGGAUGGAUAUUGAUUCUAAGCUAAUUGUGCCAUUUCAAAAUUCUUUAAGCCUUAAAUUCUAGAAGUUAACAAAAAAGAAAUAGAUAGUAAGAUAAUCAUCUCAAAGUUGUAGACUACUCAUUAGUUAAUUAUUGAUAUCAACUUAUGUGUCAA